AUGGAUGGAUGGAUAGAUAGCUGCGGAGGCACCCGGUGGUGGAGGCAAGCUUUUUUUCCGGGGAAAUGGCAGGUAUUUUCCUUGCGGCUCGAAUAUGAUAAGGAAUCCAUGACAGCCCGCCCAUACUACUUGCUAGGCCUUGCCAUGUCAUGCAUGGUACUCUACUCACUUGUGGUUCAGCUGAUUCAGAAGCAUGGUAUGUACAUCAGUACAUGCACUGAUGUGGUACAAGCUGUGCGUGAGGCAACCAAUUCAGAAGAUUUGGGCCAUGUUUUUUUUUUGACGGGAAAAGGCAGGAGCUCUGCCGUGGCAUUAUAG
rnacentral:rRNA from 1 species